UUGGCAUGCCUAUAUGCUUGGCACGGAGUUAGAUGUUUUAACUACUUUGUCUCACAACAACAUUCUGAGGUAGAAAUGAUCCUCUUCAUUGUGGAGAAAUAAUGAUUCAAGAGUGGUUAAGCUCAAACAGAGAGAACAGACCUGGUUGCCAAGGGGGUGAGGGGUGGAGGAGGGAUGGACUGGGAGUUGGCAAUUGGCAGACACGUAAACAAUUAGAUAGAGAAUGGAUAAACAACAAGGUCCUACCAUACAGCACAGGGAACUAUAUUCAAUACCCUGUCAUCAAUCACUAUGGAAAAAAUACAAAAAAGAAUGUAAAUAUAUGUAUAACUGAAUCCCUUCACUCUACAGCAGAAUGUAAACCAACAUUGUAAAUCAAUUGUGCUCCAAUAAAAUAAAUUAAAAAAAAAAGAGUGGUGAAGUGACUCGCCUCCCCUCACUAGUCAGUGAUAUAGCAGCGUUCAAGCCCCAAGUGAUCUGUGAUCAGCAUCUCCAGACUCCCUGUUGGCUUUGGGCUCCCACUCUUUUCUUAGAUGCAAACAAGUGAAGUGUAAAACUUGCAGCGAAUGUGCUAAGCAUUCCAAUGGAGGUGAGUGAACAUACUGGGGGAGGACAGGAAAAGGGAGGGCCUCCCCCAGCAAUCCUCAGACUGAAGAGUGUACAGGGAUCCCCUAGAGCUUGUCAGACCUGGGUAUUCUGAGUCAGAGGUCUGGGGUGGGGCUCCAGAGUCCACAUUCCUAGGAAGUGCCCAGGUGACGUUCAGGCUGCUGCGCCCUUCACCACACCUUGAGAAGCAAGGCUCUAUCCCACGACCUCAGAUCCUUUAAGAAGAGCCACUUGAUUGAAAUGGUGACAAGGCAAGGAUGUGGUUGGUUAGUGUGAAUCCAUCACUGUUUCUAGCAAAGCCACCCCCCCCCGCCGCCAUCAUCUGAUAUGUAGCUACUCAGGCUUGCCAACAACUUUGAGGCUACUAUCCAAUUUAAUCCUUGGUAAUCAUUAUACAGAUUUUACAGAUGGGGCUCAGGUCUCUUAAUGAUUCUAACAAAUCCAGCAUUCCUGAUUUCAGACAUGGGAAAUGAACUUGAACUGUAGCAAGAAGGACUCAGUGCAAUAAACAAUGGCAGAAACACAGGCCCCAGACCUUGUGUGAAAGGGGUUAAAGAACUAAGUCCAGGAGUUCCUGUCGUGGUGUAGUUGAAACGAAUCCAACUGGGAACCAUGAGGUUGCAGGUUUGAUCCCUGGCCUCAAUCAGUGGGUUAAGGAUCCAGCGUUGCCGUGAGCUGUGGUGUAGGUCGCAGACAUGGCUCGGCUCUGGUGUUGCUGUGACUGUGCUGCAGGCCUGUGGCUACAGCUCCAAUUAGACCCCUGGCUUGAAAACCUCCAUAUGCUGUGGGUGCGGCCCUGAAAAGACAAAAAAAAAAAACCCAAAAAACAAAAAAAGAACUAAGCCCAGAAAGAGUGACAGAGGGGUGAGAGGUGGGUGAUUUGGGAAGCCUGGGUAUGAGUGGCAGGCUUCCAUAAGUAGGACCUUGGCAGAGCUAGGCAUGUUCCUGGUCUAGAUUUCACCCAUAAAAGUCCAUGCCAGGAACCUCACUCUUCAGGCAGAGGAACUAUUUGAGUCUGAGGUUUCUCCAGUGAAACCUACCAAACUCAGAGCUCUAUCCUUGUGGCCACGGUAUUUAUUGUUGCUUAUGCUCACCUGCUCUGUGACAUUCUGCGCUAGGUGGUAGCCCUUCCCAGAUGCCAGUAACUUGCCUGCUAGUCUUCCUAUUUUAUGUCUUAAUCAGAGAAGAAGUGUUGGGAGAUUCCAAGGACAAGACACAAGGGAAGGCAUUGGGGAUGAGGGAGAGAGCGUUAGUAACUCGAAGGAUUAAGUUCUUAGAUCCAUCAGUAUGAAAGGUGUGCGAGUUGUCAUCUCGGGGCCUUAGCAGCAGUCUUUUAGGACAGCGGAUCUCCACAUAUCUAGUUUUCCUGGCCACCCUAUAAACUUGGUUUUCAGCAAUCUCAGGACCAUUCUCUGCAGAAAGUGGAAAAAGGGGGGUUACUGCUUGCUAAUCAGGGCCUGUGUUGGGGAGAAGAUCUGGUUCGCUCUGUGCUUCCAGGUUUGAAAAGGCUCAAGUCACAAUGGAAAUCCUGGGUAAGCAGAGUCCUCUUGAAGUAAAAGGUGUAUGCUCCUUUUUCCACUUCCUGAGUUACUAGACAUGUGCUCUCAUGCCCUCAGGAGAACCUGAGGUUUCUGGAUUUCCCCUGGCUUAGGUGGGACUGAUUCUCUGCAGACAGAAGAGGUUAAGAAUGUGUUUGAAGCUCCACGCAGUUAGAGCAAACUUGCAGAACCCCUGACACCAACAGGACUUAUAUUGGAUUUUCUCUAAUAUUAAUAAAGAUCCAAUGCAGUUGGUAUCACAGUUCUUGAGUUUGUCCAGGAGAAUGUGUUCUGAUUUGGGAUUCAGAGAAGACAGUGUGAAGCUUGGGGCCCAGACCUUGCCAGGAAUUUGCAAUCAGGAAAUGAAAGCACCCCAAGAUUACAGCUUGGUGCUCCUAUUUUUAAAACAUGGGAGUUCCCGUUGUGGCUCACGACAUAAGCGUCUGAGAAUGUGGGUUCAAUCCCUGGCCUGGCUCAGUAGGUUAUGGAUACAGUGUUGCCGCAAGCUCAGAUCUGGUGUUGCCAUGGCUGUGACAUAGGCCUGCAGCUGCAGGUAUGAUCUGACCCCUGGCCCAGGAACUUCCAUAUGCUGCAGGUGCAGCCCUAAAAAGAAAGAAAACAUACCCUGAAGGCAGGCUUUCGGUAGGAAGAGGUCGUUCACAGAACUUUACUCACAGGCGGCCAAACCCCAAGGAGAGAGCAGAUCUUCCCCUUGAGGCAGCAGGAUGUCAUGGGGGCCCAAAGGAAGGCUGGAAACCCUAGUGACAAACAACAGCAGUGGAUCUCCUAGUGUGGUCCCAGGACCAGCCACACCAGCAUCUCCUGGGAACUUGUUAGAAAUGCAAAUCUCAGGUUCCAGCCCCGAACUGCCAACUCAGAGACUAGGGGUGGAGCCCAGUGAUCUCUGUUUCACUAAGUGCUGUGACAGACUGUGAUCCUUCAGUUUGAGAACCACUGUUCUACGUCAAGUAAGGGGACCGCAUCUGCCAGCAGAUGUAUUUUUAUUGAUUGGUAGAGUGUUUCAAUUUUUUUUGAACUGAUUUCCAGUGUUUCGAAAUGCGUAUUUUUAUGUGAAAAUUCACAUUUCUGGCUCUUCUUGCAAAAAAAAAUAGGAAGAUCUAGCCACAGGGGACUCUCAUACCUGCUUGGCAAUAAUUGCCUGGCGCUGAGAAGAGGCUACUGCUCUUAGAAAGGGCAUAGCCCUCCUGGGAGCAGCAGCCCCUCAUUACCUACCUCACUGGCCGGCUGAACUCACUUUCACUGGAGGCCUUUGAACCAGUGGCCCGUGACCUAUAUAUAGCAUCUAGUGUCACCUUGAGUUGAAGUUUAUUCAACAGGCAGUUGCUGAACACUUACUUGAUAGGAUGGACUUUCUCCUGCCCUCAUAACUUCCUCUUCUCCCUGACCCUUAUCAUUCCCAUUCUUAACUCCCUCCACUUUCUGCUGGGAUGGGGAAACAAGGAAAAUCUUGGUGGGUGCAAUACCCAGAGGACAGCCAUAGAAGUCGGCCAAUACCCGCAGAAAGAAGUUUGGUUGGCCUACACUCCCCUCACAUCUCACUCUUGAGAAAGUAAAUUCAUUAUCAUAUUCAGAAAGGAAAGGACACUGCCCUUCUGUCAGGCUUGGGCAGAUUUUAUCUAUGGUUUGGGGGUUCUCAGAGGUGGACAGGGUCUUUCAGUGGCUGGUGGCCCCUCCACCUGAGAUAGUCUGGGACAGUUGACACUCAUUGGCUCUCUUUGGGCCAGACACUGAGCCUUGUCCCACACCUGGCUUCGCUCCUUGAACCACUUUCUGUGUGAGUGGCAGAAUUUACCCAAGUUUGGGAGCAGCAGAUGGCUUUUUGGGACAAACAAUUUUAAAACUAUAUUACAUAUUCCUGAUCUCAAAGAUCUUAUUUUCACCAGCCCAGCCCCACAUCUUUC
ensembl:lncRNA